GACGUAGGGCGCAAGCGUUGUCCGGAUUUAUUGGGCGUAAAGAGCUCGUAGGCGGCUUGGCAAGUCGGGUGUGAAAACUUCAGGCUCAACCUGGAGCGGCCACUCGAUACUGCUAUGGCUUGAGUCCGGUAGGGGACCACGGAAUUCCUGGUGUAGCGGUGAAAUGACGCAGAUAUCAGGAGGAACACCAGUGGCGAAGGCGGUGGUCUGGGCCGGAACUGACGCUGAGGGGCGAAAGCGUGGGUAGCAAACAGG
rnacentral:rRNA from 1 species